rnacentral:rRNA from 1 species
GAUGAACGCUGGCGGCGUGCCUAAUACAUGCAAGUCGAGCGAACAGACGAGGAGCUUGCUCCUCUGACGUUAGCGGCGGACGGGUGAGUAACACGUGGAUAACCUACCUAUAAGACUGGGAUAACUUCGGGAAACCGGAGCUAAUACCGGAUAAUAUAUUGAACCGCAUGGUUCAAUAGUGAAAGACGGUUUUGCUGUCACUUAUCGAUGGAUCCGCGCCGCAUUAGCUAGUUGGUAAGGUAACGGCUUACCAAGGCAACGAUGCGUAGCCGGCCUGAGAGGGUGAUCGGCCACACUGGAGCUGAGACACGGUCCAGACUCCUACGGGAGGCAGCAGUAGGGAAUCUUCCGCAAUGGGCGAAAGCCUGACGGAGCAACGCCGCGUGAGUGAUGAAGGUCUUCGGAUCGUAAAACUCUGUUAUUAGGGAAGAACAAAUGUGUAAGUAACUAUGCACGUCUUGACGGUACCUAAUCAGAAAGCCACGGCUAACUACGUG